UCCUGUCCAGUGGUUAUAAAUAAAAACAAAUUUUACACGUCAAGUUUGUUAUAUAGAAAAUACUAUGAGUUAAAAUGAAAAUUUUCUUAGGUAUCUGUGUAUUUUCCUUGAUGAAUUUUAUUAUGGUUGGAACAGAGCUAAAUCACAAUUGUAGUUUCCAAAGAAACCACAGUGACUUCUGUUCAUAUAACAACUGUUUAGAGAAGUACCGCGAUGGUAACGGCAACCCGUCAACAAAACUGAUCAACAAUCCAAUGAUCAAAGAUACUACAGGUCUGAUCAAGAAUACUACACUUGUGAUCAACAAUAAAGGUGUGAUAAAAGGUGCCUCACGUAGUCUUCAUGGAAUACAGUCUGUACUAUCAAUUAUAUUAACCUUGGCGAUUCUUUCUGGAAUAUUAUCAUAGGGCAGAAAUGUCAAAAAAAUAUUUUUAACAGAUAUUCAAAUGGAAUAACCUAUCAUGUGAUGUAUUGUCUACAGCAGAUGUUAAUCAUGUUAACAGUGUGAUAAAGGCUAUCUAAAUGUAAUAAUGUACCUUAAUUUGAUUGUCUAUUGUAAAUUAUUGUUAUUAUUGUGCAAAAUUAUCUAAUUUUAACACUGACGCAUUCUAAUUAGACUAAUUAGUUUAGUUAGACUAAAAGUACUUCUUUAAGACACAACUACCUACCAUAUCAAUAUCCUCUAUCAUUUGUUUCUUCGGGAAUUUCAUGUGUCUACAUAUUGCACAUGAACAUUAACAUGGAAUUUACCUAUUUUAGGUAACAUUGCGCCUAUCUAGGAGUAAGUAAUCUAUCAUGAUAAGCAUGCAUUUCUUAAAGAAAAAGUUUCCCGAGGGUAAAAUGUAUAUAGUGUUCCUUUGCUUUUUGUGUGUGUUU